AUGCCUCGGGUGGUGUUGGAGCGCUUCCCCAACCGAGAGGAGUGGGGAGACAUCCACCUCGACAUCCUCCGCUACGCAAACUUCGCCAAGCGCGCGCGCUUCAUCGGCGACGACGGCUGCAUGGAUGUGGAGCUUCUCUUCUGGGCGAUUCAGGAGGCCGAAUUGCAGGAUCCGAUACAUGCGGGGAAGUGGGCAUACUUCAAGACAGUGAAUCCAUCGUGGCUCAACAUCAGGCCGCCGUCGGUGGAGGGGAUUGCCAGCAUUCCGCCAGAAUUUCUUCCGCCGGCGGUGCAGCUGCCCCGCCGCCGCCAGUGA
rnacentral:rRNA from 1 species